GGGGGGGCUAUACAUGCAGUCGAACGCUUCUUUUUCCACCGGAGCUUGCUCCACCGGAAAAAGAGGAGUGGCGAACGGGUGAGUAACACGUGGGUAACCUGCCCAUCAGAAGGGGAUAACACUUGGAAACAGGUGCUAAUACCGUAUAACAAUCGAAACCGCAUGGUUUUGAUUUGAAAGGCGCUUUCGGGUGUCGCUGAUGGAUGGACCCGCGGUGCAUUAGCUAGUUGGUGAGGUAACGGCUCACCAAGGCCACGAUGCAUAGCCGACCUGAGAGGGUGAUCGGCCACAUUGGGACUGAGACACGGCCCAAACUCCUACGGGAGGCAGCAGUAGGGAAUCUUCGGCAAUGGACGAAAGUCUGACCGAGCAACGCCGCGUGAGUGAAGAAGGUUUUCGGAUCGUAAAACUCUGUUGUUAGAGAAGAACAAGGAUGAGAGUAACUGUUCAUCCCUUGACGGUAUCUAACCAGAAAGCCACGGCUAACUACGUGCCAGCAGCCGCGGUAAUACGUAGGUGGCAAGCGUUGUCCGGAUUUAUUGGGCGUAAAGCGAGCGCAGGCGGUUUCUUAAGUCUGAUGUGAAAGCCCCCGGCUCAACCGGGGAGGGUCAUUGGAAACUGGGAGACUUGAGUGCAGAAGAGGAGAGUGGAAUUCCAUGUGUAGCGGUGAAAUGCGUAGAUAUAUGGAGGAACACCAGUGGCGAAGGCGGCUCUCUGGUCUGUAACUGACGCUGAGGCUCGAAAGCGUGGGGAGCAAACAGGAUUAGAUACCCUGGUAGUCCACGCCGUAAACGAUGAGUGCUAAGUGUUGGAGGGUUUCCGCCCUUCAGUGCUGCAGCUAACGCAUUAAGCACUCCGCCUGGGGAGUACGACCGCAAGGUUGAAACUCAAAGGAAUUGACGGGGGCCCGCACAAGCGGUGGAGCAUGUGGUUUAAUUCGAAGCAACGCGAAGAACCUUACCAGGUCUUGA
rnacentral:rRNA from 1 species